rnacentral:lncRNA from 1 species
UCAUCCAAUUCCUCAUGGGACUUAAUGAUAUCUAUUCAGCUGUAAGGAGUAACAUUCUAAUGCUUACCCCUCUGCCUAGUGUCAAUCAAGCCUACUCUCUUCUCAUUCAAGAUGAGAAACAAAGGGAAAUUCAUGUUGCACAAUACCCUGUCGAAACUGCUUUUCUGGAAGGAAAUCAGCAAACCCAUUUUCAAAAGUAUGCUAAUGGGGAAGGAAAAUUCAAAGCAAAUCUUGAAGGAAAGAAGAGUAACCUGAUGUGCAACUAUUGCAAGAAACCUGGUCAUUCCGUUGAUAAAUGCUAUAGAAUCAUUGGUUUUCCGUCCACUUUCAAGUUCACCAAAUCCAGAAAAUAUCAUGGAGGAACUCACAGCAAUGCAACAAUCAUGCAUGAAGAAAACACAGCUUUGUCAGCAAACACAAUGGUAGAAAAUACAGCAGGUAAAGUCAUAACUCAAGAACAGUUCAGUCAGCUUUAUCAACUUCUUCAACAAGUAAAGAUACAACAGGGUGAGCAGAGUUCUGAUGCAAAUGCUAGUGCCAACUGUGUUGGUAAAACCAUCAAUGCCCCUAAUCUAUAUUGUCUUGCAUGUUUUCCUUACAUGAAUUCUACCUCCUGGAUAAUAGAUUCAGGAGCUUCAGAACAUAUGACUUUUGAUCAUUCCGUUUUAUUUAAUAUAAAGCCUCUAACCAAAUCUCUAUACGUCAAUCUAUCGAAUUCAUAUAAGGUUAAGGUCAGUCAAGUUGGUAGUGCCCAUGUUCUGCCAGAUUUAAUCCUAAAUAAUGUGUUGUAUGUUCCAGAUUUCAAAUUUAAUCUAAUUUCAGUUCACAAACUCACUAAACAACUCAUGUGUACCUUGAUUUUCUCAUCUUUUGGUACAUUCUUGCAGGGCCCUUCACUGAAGAGGUCAGUGGUAGUUGGUGAAGUGAAGGAAGGUCUAUAUCUACUUAGUCCAAUUUCUCUAAGUUCCGGACUAGUUCAUGGAAAUCAAUCAUUUUUUAAGUCUCUUUUUUCUUGCAAUAACUUUAAGAAGCACAUUGUGUCUCAUUCAGUUUCUUGUUCAGCUAGAGUCAACUCUAAUGUAAACCUAUGGUACAAAAGAUUGGGGCACAUGCCCAUAUCUAGCAUGCAAAAUCUAUCAAGUUUUCAUUUUCCUUCUCUUGCCACAUUUAAUCAUCCUUGUGAUGUAUGUUCUCAAGCUAGGCAGGCAAAGUUGCCUUUUCAUUCAAGUCAUAUAAACACAAAUUUCAUUUUUCAACUAAUUCAUAUUGAUACUUGGGGACCUUACAAGCUCCCAACACAUGACGGUUAUAGAUAUUUUUUGACUAUAGUGGAUGACUAUAGUAGAGCAACUUGGACCUAUCUAUUACGAACAAAAAGUAAGGCUUUUUCAGUUUUAAAAUCUUUUCUAAUAAUGGUAGAAAGACAGUUUUCCACAAAAAUUAAGAUCAUUCGUUCCGAUAAUGCUUUGGAAUUAGGAUCGGGAUCUAUUCUUUCAAAAAAAAAAAUCCUCUAAUGGAAUUCUUCAUCAAACCUCUUAUGUUGCCACACCACAACAAAAUGGAAUGGUUGAGCAAAAACACAAACAUCUUUUAGAGACAUGCAGGGCUCUAUUAUUUCAAUCUAAUCUCCCCACCAUGUAUUGGGGUGAUUGUUUGUUAACUGCUACUUUUCUAAUAAAUCAAUUUCCCUCUAGAGUUCUUAAUUUCAAAACACCUUUCGAAAUUCUUUUUGGAAAAGUUCCAUCUUAUGAUUUUCUCAAAUGUUUUGGUUGUCUAUGUUAUGCAUCUACUUUACCUCAUCAUAGAGCAAAACUUGAAUCUAGAUCUGUCAAGUGUGUUUUUAUAGGUUAUCCUUUUGGAAAGAAAGGCUACAAAUUGUUGGAUCUUCAAUCUAAAGCCAUUUUUAUUUCACGAGAUGUUAUUUUUUAUGAGGACAUAUUUUCAUUCUUGUCUCCUUCAUCUAAACAACCAAUUUUUCCUAAAGAAGUUUCUACUAUUCAAGACCCGAAUCACUCUUUCUCUCCGUCUGAUAUCCAUUUAUCCACAAAGUCAGAUUCUAACUCCCCUAUACAACCUUUCAUAACUUCACCUCACAACGCUCCUACCUCAUCUCCUAUCUCCAAGGGUAUUUCCUCUCCAUCUUCCCUACCCCUUCCACCUGAACUAAGGCGCUCUACUAGGGAUCACAAUCCACCAUCAUAUCUGGCAGAUUAUGUGUGCAAUGUUGUGUACUUGAUUGAUCUAACCAAAUUUUGUCUUGCAGCACCAAUCUCACCUACUACUAUGAAUUUCACUGACCUCUCUCCUACAAACCAGUCUUUUUUUAACUCUAUCUCUCACAUCGUUGAACCUACAAGUUUCUCCCAGGCAGUUUUACAUCCCAGUUGGCAGGAAGCAAUGACACAAGAACUUCUAGCUUUGGAAACCAAUCAAACCUGGGACGUGGUUGAACUACCGAGAGGCAAGAAAUCUUUACCUUGUAAAUGGGUUUAUAAAAUUAAAUACAAAUCUGAUGGAAGCAUUGAAAGAUUUAAAGCUCGCCUAGUUAUCCGCGGGGACAUUCAAAGAGAAGGAAUAAACUACACUAAAACUUUUAGUUUAGUGAAGAAAAUGACAACUGUUAGAUGUAUUUUAGUAGUUGCAGUUAAACGACACUAUAAAAUGUUUCAAUUAGAUGUCAAUAACGUUUUUCUUCAUGGUGACCUACAGGAAGAAGUAUAUAUGAGAUUCUCCCCAGGAUUGCCUUCACCUUCUAAUAAUCAUAUUUGCAGGUUAAAAAGGUCCUUAUACGGACUUAAACAGGCUUCCCGGCAAUGGUACGCACGACUUACUGGUGCACUUAAUUUCAAAGGAUAUUCUCACUCUCUUAACGACUAUUCUCUAUUUUUCAAGAAGACAACUGCUGGAAUUUCUAGUGUUGUUGUUUAUGUCGAUGACAUACUUCUUACAGGAGAUGACCCUACAAAGCUUUCUAAUCUCAAAGAAUUCCUCAAUUUGGAAUUCAAAAUUAAAGACCUUGGAGAAGCUAAUUAUUUUCUUGGCAUGGAACUACUAAGGGAACAAAAUGGAAUAAUUAUCAGUCAAAGAAAGUUCACCUUGGAGCUUCUUUCUGAAUUUGGUAUUCUUAAUUCACGGCUAGUCUCAUCUCCGCUAGACCCCAGUAGCAAGCUUCGAGCCGAUGUUGGCGAACAUCUUCAAGACCCAACCAUCUACAGACGACUGAUCGAAAAACUAAAUUUUCUAACUCAUACUCGCCCCGACCUCUCUUUCGCAGUUCAACAUCUAAGCCAGUAUAUGCAAAGUCCCCGUACACCUCAUUUCAAUGCUGGUUUACACUAUCUUCGUUAUAUGUUGGCUUCACCAUUACUUGGGCUUUUCAUGAAUUCAGACUUACUUUACAAUUAAUCGCUUUUUGUGAUUCUGAUUGGGGAACUUUUCCGGAAUCUCGUUGCUCAACCAGUGGUUUCUACAUCAACCUCGGAGGAUCCCCUAUUUCAUGGAAAUCAAAGAAACAAUCUUCAAUAUCCCUUUCCUCUACUGAAGCCGAAUAUCGGUCUAUGAAGAAGGUUGUUUCAGAACUUACAUGGCUUGUACGCCUCCUCACAGAUCUUUCAUUUUCCCCCUCGUUGUCAGUCUCCCUUCACUAAGAUAGCCAGGCGGCUAUUCACAUUGCAAAAAAUCUCGUUUUCCACGAACGCACAAAGCACGUGGAAAUUGACUAUCAUUUUGUCUACCAACAGUACCUCGCCGAACUCAUUUCUUUGUCUUUCGUUCCGACCAAAUCGCAGCUAGCCGACAUCCUCACAAAACCCUUUUCCGGACCUCUACACAGGGCCAUCGUCUCCAAGUUGGGUCUGUUUUCUCAAACCUCAAAAUUAAGGGAGGGUGUUGGACUGGAAAUCAACACCCUGGCCUCUAAAUCAAGAGUUGGUCAACAUAGAGCAACUGCAAUCGAAGAAGAAGAUGAAGAAGAGAUGAAAGUAGAAGUGUCUCAAAUGACCUAGAGAAU